GGGAAAAGGCAUUCCAAACUGAGAUAGGAGUGAAGAGCGAGCACAAAGGCAGAGGAAACAGCUUUCAGGACCACCUGAAGGGUGACAGUCAGGAACAACUUCAGGAAGACUUAGAUUCAAGAGGACAUGGUGGAAAGAGAAUCUCCAUGGGACCCAUGGGCUCCAGUUUCCUCUCUAAGCUCUGCAUUCACGGGCUGUGUGACCUCAGCCAGUUCUCCAGUGUUCGGGAUUGAUUAUAUUGUUGGUGGUUCAUCCAGACUCCUCAGUUCUUUUUACUGCUGUCUACUUCAGACCAUAUUGCUAACAAUAAACUGCUGUGAACACAUCUAUCAGAGACUGUGCAGAUCAAGGAACAGAAGAGGUUAGAAAUCAGUCUCGUUUACAAUUAAUCAUCAGCUCUGAUAGGAGAAGGUAUUAAAAGCGCUUU
ensembl:lncRNA